rnacentral:rRNA from 1 species
AACGAACGCUGGCGGCAGGCUUAACACAUGCAAGUCGAGCGCGUAGCAAUACGAGCGGCAGACGGGUGAGUAACGCGUGGGAAUCUACCCCUUACUACGGAAUAACGCAGGGAAACUUGUGCUAAUACCGUAUGUGGCCGAGAGGCGAAAGAUUUAUCGGUAAGGGAUGAGCCCGCGUUGGAUUAGCUAGUUGGUGGGGUAAAGGCCUACCAAGGCGACGAUCCAUAGCUGGUCUGAGAGGAUGAUCAGCCACACUGGGACUGAGACACGGCCCAGACUCCUGCGGGAGGCAGCAGUGGGGAAUAUUGGACAAUGGGCGCAAGCCUGAUCCAGCCAUGCCGCGUGAGUGAUGAAGGCCCUAGGGUUGUAAAGCUCUUUCACCGGUGAAGAUAAUGACGGUAACCGGAGAAGAAGCGAGAGUGACGGUACCUGCAGAAAAAGCACCGGCUAACUACGUGCCAGCCGCCGCGGUAAAAC